rnacentral:rRNA from 1 species
CUAAGAGGAUAACCCUCCACACUGGUACUGAGAUAAGGACCAGACUUCUACGGAAGGCAGCAGUGAGGAAUAUUGGUCAAUGGAGGAAACUCUGAACCAGCGAUGUCGCGUGUAGGAAGACAGUCUUUUAGAUUGUAAACUGCUUUUGCAUAGGAAUAAAAGUUACUACGGGAUGGUAACAUGAAGGUACUAUGAGAAUAAGUGUCGACUAAUUUCGUGCCAGCAGUCGCGGUAAUACGAAAGACACAAGCGUUAUCCGGAUUUAUUGGGUUUAAAGGGUGUGUAGGUUGUUUAUUAAGUCAGUAGUGAAAGCUUACAGCUUAACUGUAAAAUUGCUAUUGAUACUGUUAAACUUGAGUGAGUUUGGAGUAUCUGGAAUGUAUGGUGUAGCGGUGAAAUGCAUAGAUAUCAUACAGAACACCAAUAGCGAAGGCAGGAUGCUAAAUCUUCACUGACGCUGAGGCACGAAAGCGUGGGUAGCAAACAGGAUUAGAUACCCUGGUAGUCCACGCCCUAAACUAUGAUCACUAGCUAUUGGAAAAAUUAUAUUCAGUGGCCAAGCUAAAGCGAUAAGUGAUCCACCUGGGAAGUACGAUCGCAAGAUUGAAACUCAAAGGAAUUGACGGGGUUUCGCACAAGCGGUGGAGCAUGUGGUUUAAUUCGAUGAUACGCGAGGAACCUUACCAAGGUUUAAAUGUAUUACGAAUAAGCUGGAAACAACUUAGUCUAUAAGGACGUAAUACAAGGUGCUGCAUGGUUGUCUUCAGUUCGUGCUGUGAAGUGUUUGGUUAAGUCCUAUAACGAGCGCAACCCCUAUUGUUAGUUGCCAUCGGGUAAGGCCGGGGA